GGGGAAAAGGGAAAGAAAGGCAAAAAGGGGCCUAAAGGGGAGAAAGGAGAACAGGGUGCCCCUGGAUUAGAUGCACCUUGCCCAUUGGGACCAGAUGGCUUACCAAUGCCUGGCUGUUGGCAAAAGGGAGUCACACCAUGGCUUAUUGCAAAAAAAUGAUAAGAGGAGGAAAUUGAGACAAUGGUCUUGAAUUUGGAGGGAGCUGCAGUUCCUUCCAGCGGUGGAUGGCUUUCGGUCUUCUGGGUUAUGAAGCCACCUUUGUCAAAGGGGUGGAAACCUCUUCAUCAGCCUCUGUUUGCUUGCACUGCCCGCAGUCACAAGCCAUUCACAUUGGGUGGAUUUCAAUACUAGUCCCUGUUGACUAUUUAACCAAGAAGGAAAGAAGCAUGAAGAUCUUGCUUUGGGAGUAGGUUGAUAAAGCUGCAGAGAGAUGCCAAAAGGAUCGUUUGAUGAUAGGUCUCAGUAUCAACAUGACCAUUUUCAAGGAUUGGUGCAGUAUUUGUUUCACACACUGCAUUUUGAGAUUUUUGAAGGCAAGUAUUCUUGACAAAAGAUACCAUGAAAUGCCUAAAGCAAUGGAACAGACAUGACUGUAUAUGGCUCGCCAUUUGAAUUUUAGAAGUUCCUGAUGAAAUAUCAAGUGCUUAUAGGAUUUUGGAAAAAUAUAUUUUAUUUUAUUUGUGUUCCGGUUCGCUGUCGUCCAGCAGAUACAUGCUUCCUGAAAUUUAAGUUCUGAAAAAUGCACUUGUGUUCAACUUCUUUCAGUGUUGCCUUUCUUUGGAUCUAUAAGGUCUUUACUGCUGCAAAGCAAGGAUUUGUUUCUUUUUAAUUCGUAUGAACUCAUUUAUUCAUAUACCUUUUUUCCCUUCUACAGUUGUCCUGUUUUGGGGGUCUGUAGCCCAAAGAGUAUGCAAUAGGGAAAGAAUAUUGCAUGACAGUGACAGUAACAUUUUUAUCUCAAAUAUAAAAUUAUUUUCAUCUGACUUUUAGGCUGCAAUCCUGUGCAUUCUUCUCUGGGACUAAGACCUAUUGAAUUCAGCGGAACUUUUGAAUAUGUUCCAAUUGUGUUGCAUAUUGCUUAAAAAAACAGCUUUCAUUUCUCUAUUUUGAACACAUCUGCUUAACUUUUAAAUCUUAAGACUUGUAUUCAUAAAGUACAUUUGUAGACAUCCCAAGAAACUAAUUUAUGUUGCAUUUUUUACUUUGCUUUAAAAAUAAUAAUAAUUGCCAGUGUUGAAAUGGUGAUUAAACUUCUAUGUACAUUCAUAAAAAAGUCUGACCAAAUAAGAGAUUUCAUACAUGUGUGAAAUAAUGUGAGGAAGACACAAUCAUGUGUUUCUGGAGACAAGCAUCUGUUGCUCCAGAAAUGUCAUGUGCAUCACCUCGUAAAGAUUCCAUUUCCAAAUAAUGGCUACUUUGGACGUCAAACCAUUGCUUAGCAUGAUGAUAAUCUGUUGCAGCAAGCCUUGGGCUCAUGCACCUCCUCUGGUGCAUGUGCAAGGAGAACAAAUGCUCAAAUUUUAAUUUUAGAAGAACUGCAGUAUAGUGUGUUACCCUAUCCCUAAAGUAUGGCUAAUCUUAAAUGCAUAUUUAAGAUUGACCGCAGUUUGUUUAGGUUUGAGCAUCAAGACAAGCUGCAUUUAAUCUGAAACUGGAGUGCACACUUCAAAACUCUUCCUCACUCCUGUGCCAGGGGACAGAGUGGAGUGCCCAAACCCAAGGCUCACCAAAGAUAAUUGUCAUCACGAUAAACUAUCAUGUCUGAACCAGACCAUUUGCUUAGCACAGUGGACGCUCGGGUUGCGAACGUGAUCCGUGUGGGAGGCACAUAUGCAACCCACAGCGCCGUGUUUGCGCACACACGGGUUGCGAUUCGGCGCUUCUGCACAUGCACAAAGUGUGAUUUAGUGUUUCUGCGCAUGCGCGAGCGCCGAAACCUGGAAGUAACCUGUUCUGGUACUUCCGGGUUCGGCACGCUGCGCAACCCGAAAACACGCAACCUGCAGCAUCUGUAACCCGAGGUAUGACUGUACUGCCUUCUACCCAUGAAUCGAUAGUAUCUCUAGAACUCAUUUGUACUUUUACUUUGGAUUUCGUUUUCAUAAUGUUUCAUUUUCAUUUCAGAUUUCAUUUUCAGAAUGUCAAAACCAUUUAAUGAAAAGUAUAUCCCCCCCCCAUUCAAAACAAUUUUCCUUCCCACACACCCCAAAGAGCUGGGGAAAUUUCUGUUCAACAACUGCUUUAAUGCUGGAGCUUUUGUCUUAAUAGUUCUAACAAAUGUUUUGCCAAAGUUUCAGUGAUGGCCUCUGAGCAGCAAGGGAAAAGAAAGAUCAGGUGCUCAGGCAACUCAGAAAAAGGAUGCUGUCUUUGCUAACUGCUUUAUUUGUUGUUGCGAUUCUGUUUCAUUUUUUUAUUGUAAGAUGCCCUGUGUGUGUAGAAAGAUAGGAUUUAAGCAUUUUAAAUAAAUGAGAUAAGUCGUAUUGAUCUGCAUGUGUGUGGGUAUACAGGUGUACACACCCACUAACAUUAAUGCACACAUGCAAACAAAACAUAUCUUAAUCUUUGAUCAAUUUCUCCACAAUGCAAGAAAUUUGUUAUUGCAUCCCAACACAUUUAAUACAUAAUUUUAAAUCUGUUCUGAUGUCAAUACUCACAACCAAUCUCAUUAUGUAGAAAUGGAGCCUGUCAAUUCCCCGUGUACAUUCCAAUGUACAUUUUUAUUAGCGUUUUGUAUUUCAGAUUAUUAAGGCACAAGUGUCUCCAUUUAUCCCUCUUGUGAUUUAAAACAAGAGGGUUAUGAGCCUUCCUUGUCUGACUACAGAAGGUUCCCUACAGGACUAAGCAGAGCCGUUUCCCCACCCUAGCACUCAUACACAGAUGCUUGUAGAGGCAGUGUGUCAAAAAUGAAGAAUGUGUGAGCUCUUCUCAUGUUCCCAUUUAACUCUUCCUUUUCACUUGGUCAAAUUAUGCCAGAUCUGCUCAAGAAAUGUGAACAAGUGGAGUGGGAAAGCUGGAUCAGAUGCAAGGGCUACACAUAAACCUGUAGUGACCCAACAUGUGGCUUGCAAGCAAACUUGCCAAGGGUGACAAAACGGAGCUCCAUUGACCCCCUAUGUCGAACCCUUAACACACAUUUUCAACCCACUUUAAACGAGCUAACAACGGGGUAUCAACCACUAAUUUUAGAGUGAAAUUAAGUUCCUGCAUGCUGUCCUUGUAAAUUAAUAAAUUUGCAUGCCAGUCUACUGAGCUCUAGCUGCCAACAGCCCUUGGGCAUACACAUCAAUGUAACAUGUGAUUUUAUAUAAUCACAGAAACAGCUGCCAGCAAUUCGCAUUAUGGUCACCAGUCAUAUUGCUAUAUCUAGCAACAGAUAGGUAUGUCCCAUGUGAACUUCAGAAGAAGGGAACCAGUGGUCUUCCAGCUGUUGUUGUACUACAACUCCUUUUUACUGCUAACCACUGGCCAUGACAGCUGCGGCUGAUGGGACACGAGUCCGACAACACCUGGAGGGCCACUGGUUCCGUACCCCUGCCUGAGUUGGUUUUCGUUUUCUUUCUUUCCCUCAGUUACCAUGAGUUUGGCAUACAUCUGCUUAGAACUGGCCAUUCAUUCAUCUUAAUUCUUACCCAUUGUAAUUAAAAUGCUUUUGGUAGUUAGCAAGAGCCCAUUCCAUUUUGAUAACGCCAUCCUAGUAGAACUACAUAAGUCAGUUUGUGAGUCAUAGGAGAUAGCAAAAUAGUGUCAGAUUUUUUAAAAUAUCUGUUGCCUGAUGAAAGUGCAGAUGUGCUCCUUCUAGCCAUACAAUUACUUUCGGAAGACAUGCAGUGCCUUUAGUGUUGAUCUUUGACAAUUAUUUUGGUGCUAUUUUUUUCUUCUUAUUGUGGGUCUCUAGCGUAGCUGUUUAUCUUUUGCUGCCACAGGUUUCCUUUGCUUAAAAUCUGCAGAUUUGUUGGUGGUGUGAUCUUUUUUCGUUCAGUUCAAACAUUGGACACAGCUUGAGUUUACUUAUGCAACUCCAGCUUCUUGUUUCUGUGAUCAUAAUUAUUUUUGCUGCCCCCCCCCAAACACACACCUCCCUGCAAUAUUUAUUUGGUGUCCGUCCUCAUGGGUAUCUUUUACUCAACAAAGAAACAGCAUGCCUGAAACCAACAUGUUUCAGAUUAAACUUUCCUUUAGCUCCAUAAAUGGAGAAGCUGCUUUCCCUUAAUUUCCAUAAACUGAGGAAUUGUAUCUUCCAGGGUGCUUACAGAACAGAUAAUUGCAAGGGAUAAGAUGUAGGACCACAGUUCAUAAUGAAGCAUUCAUUUCUCUAAUCUGUUUGUAAUUUUAGAAUAACAGAGAGAUGUUAGAGAGGUUGAGUGAUGUCAUGUUCCAUAUUGUGUCUAUAAGAGGCUUAGAUACAAUCAAACUCAUCCAGAGGUUUCAAUUGUGUGCCCAAAGAUCUCCCAACUAUUUUCCUACGCUGUUCAUUUAAAUGGAGGGGGAAUUCAUGUUUUCACAAGUUGUGUGUGCAGACUUUCCAUUGAAGUUAAUGGUCAUGAAGGAGCUCCAUGGGUGCCUCAAAGCACCCAGGGCUCUUGAAGUAGAGCUGUUGUAUUUCUUCUCACUGUCAAAUGACUUUUCUUUAUGUUUGCCUAUGUAUCAUGCCAUAAAGACUUGAAAUGCAUUGUUCUUCAUCAUCAGUAUUAUGUACAGGCUUGAAAGUAUUUUAGUUUUAUAUGGGACUGGAAAGAUAUCUAUUAGGCUUUGCUGUUGCGUUACUGUUUAAUUUUGUUGUUUCUGGGUUGUUGCUUUUAAUUAAGGGAACCCAGAGGCGGAAUUUUGACUUUUGGUGCAAUAAAAAUGCCCCAAAAUGUUAGUGCUGGGUAAGAACAAGCAGCAAGAGGCAAUCCAGUAACAUUCUUGUAGGUUCUGAAUUUAUUCACCGUACAGAACUGCUGGAUGCAACUCUGGUUUACAUAGGGCAUUGUUAACUAUGCGAAUACAUGGUUGGAUUUAUUUUGUAUAAUGGAAUUGUUCUGUGUAAUUAUUUUUUUAAGAGUAAAAGCUACAAGAAUGGGUGCACUCUUCUACAAAAGAAUGAGGUUUUUGAUGACAUGUGUUUUCUUUGCAAGCUUUCUAAGCUCUGUUACUUGACUGUCAUACAGUUAUAUCUGUAUCUUUUUGUUUUACCUAAAAAGAGACUUUUCCUUUUCACACCAAAAAAUACAUUGAAAUAAAUAAAUAGAAUAAAAACACAAGUUGUGUCAACAUGGUCUCCGGGAGCUUUGAACAAUGAGACCUAAAGCUGUUAACAGAAACAUCUUUCUUUUUUUUCCUUGUGUGGCAUCUCGAUAUGAGUCUGAAUGGUCCAGUGCUAUGAAAUAUACAAUUCAUUUCUGAAACUGCCCGAUGAUUGGCUAGACACUGCCAGGGUGUGUGUGUCACACUGAUUUCUGAUCAUUGCUGUCUGACCAUGUGACAAGGUCACCAAAACAGCAAAAUGGAUGCUGAAAAGGAUGAGGUUUCUGUAAAAGUGGGAGUUUGUUUGCAUUUUUUUAUUUUAAAAAAAUGGUAUUUGAAAUGCAUCCUGCUAACUAUGCUGCUCAGAAAUAGAAUUGUCUUUCCUUGGAUAACAGGGGGCCUUAUUCCAGCAAGGACCUUCAAUGUUUAAACAUUUUUGCUGAAAAUCCAUCUAAAUCUACUCAGUCACACUUGGUACUGCUUUGAGAUAAUUUGGAAGCAUUUGAUUGGGAGAGGGGUUUAUUUUAAAUGUUGUUAAUGUUGGCCACAAUCCUUUGUCCAGCUCUCCGGGGCAUUUCCAAUAAAAUGAAAGGGUGCUACACAAUAAUACCGUUGCACACAAUCCCAAUCUCCGAGUGGUGCGAGAUUCCAGGGUUUGUGUUUCCUUUUGGAACGAGACACAGCAGAUAUAUACAGCCUGAGCCUACGAUGGAGGGUUUCACAGCAUCAAUACCCCAAGAGGGUCUCACAGAGCUGCUUUCCUUUGUUCCCCUGAAUGGCUCGCCACCAGGAGGCUGGCCUUGCUUUUCCAAUAAUUAGAACCCUUGAUUAAAUAUUAACACUUGCUCAAUCCAGGGAUUUAGAGGGGUUUGGCAUACAGCUUAACUCCCCAAACUCAGAACAAUGCUGUACUAUCAAAGCCUCAUGCAACUUUCAUAUUGGAGCUUGUACAAGAGAGCUUCCCAAUGGAUUUUGCCCAUUCAUUGAGGAUAUUUUUCUGUUGUACAUGUUUGGGAAGUGUAGUAUAUAAUGCAACCUGGUAACAAUUUUUAAAGGUGUAUGUAUCUGAUCAUUUUUUCUUUUUGGAAAAUAUUAUAUUUUUAAUUUGUGGUGUUUUUUUACUUUUUUUAAUUGAUCUGUAUGUGCAGUUAUUUUGAUAUUUCAUAGCAGUCUUUCUUAAAAGAAGGUGAUGAGAUUUGGAGUGAAUUGUCACUGUGGGAAACAUUACAUGAGUCAUUCUCAUAUCACAUAUUCUGAGUGUCAUUUCACUGUAAAACUAUGGCUGUGUAAAUAAUUUCAAGGCUAAAAUCAUCACUUUUGAUUUGUUAUACAUUUUUACUUAAGUGUGGCUUCUGGUUCAGACAUAAUUCAAGACUGAGCCAAAUGAAACAGUAUGAAUUAUUUCUUUUCUUUGUCAAAUUCUCCUGAUUUCUCCUGUUCUUUACAGUUUUAAAAUUGUUCCUGUUUCUUUGAGUUUUGUAUUUGGUUUUUGUUCCUAGCUUGUGAGAAGUUGA